rnacentral:tRNA from 1 species
GGCAGUGUAGUAUAAUGGGUAAGGACUUCGGCUUGUAACCUAAAGGUCGCAGGUUCGAUUCCUAGGUAGGGCACUGCCG